AAUACGCCAGCUCUUGUCAAGCAAAAUGUGUAAAGGAGUCCAGAAAGGAGACAUAUGGAUAUGAAUUCGUAUGUUGCUGGACUGACGGAUGGGGAAGGCUGUUUCUGUGUAUCGUUCAGCUUUAGAAACAAGCUGAAUACGAACAUAGAGGUGAGACCCAGUUUUUCAAUCAGCCUAAACCAAAAAGACUUACCGCUUCUGCAAAAAAUAUUUAAAAUAUUUAGUUGCGGGGCGAUAAGAAGAUCUGCUCACGACAGAUGCUAUAAGUAUGAAGUAAGGAAUCUUGAAGAUCUCAACAGGUCAAUCAUCCCGCACUUCAGACAAUACCCCUUGCAGGGGACAAAAGCAUCUGACUUCGAGAAAUUUGCCAAAGUUUGUGAAAUGAUGAAGGCAAACUUGCAUCGAAGCAAAAAGUAUCUGCCAGAAUUGAUUGAAAUUUCAUAUUCAAUCAAUCAGGGCAAGAGAAAAUACAAUAAAGAGGAUCUCCUAAAACACAUGACAAGAUGAAGAUAUAGUCUGAUCCGUUAGCAAUAACGCGAAUAAUUGAAGUUCCGACCCGCACGAAUGGCAUAACGGUCUGAAAACUGUCUCAACGAGGGACUCGGUGAAAUUGCAAUGCCGGUAAAGAUGCCGGUUAACUGCAGCAAGACGGAAAGACCCCGUGAAGCUUUACUACAGCUUUGUAUUGGCUUUUGGAUCUUCAUGUGUAGCGUAGGUGGGAGCUUAGGCAACAAUGAAACACCACUCUUGAAUAUUCGAAAGUCUAACCCAGCCCCACUUUUUGGAUUGAAAAUCGAAAAAGUGGGGCUGGGAACAGUGCUUGGUGGGUAGUUUGACUGGGGCGGUCGCCUCCCAAAUCGUAACGGAGGCGUUCAAAGGUUGGCUUAGCUCGUAUGGAAAGCGAGCCUCAAAGUGCAAAGGCAUAAGCCAGCUUGACUGCAAGACUUACAAGUCGCGCAGCUGCGAAAGCAGGACUUAGUGAUCCUCUAGCUCCUCAUGAGUGGGCUAGAGCUCAACGGAUAAAAGCUACUCCGGGGAUAACAGGCUGAUCGGGCCCAAUAGUCCACAUAGACGGCUCGGUUUGGCACCUCGAUGUCGGCUCACCGCAUCCUGGGGGUGAAGCAGCUCCCAAGGGUUUGGCUGUUCGCCAAUUAAAGCGGUACGCGAGCUGGGUUCAGAACGUCGCGAGACAGUUCGGUCCUAAUCUGCUGUAGUCGUAGAAACUUGAGAGGAUGUCUUCUUAGUACGAGAGGACCAGAAGGCGUGAGUCUCUGGUGUACCAGUUGUUCCACCAGGAGCAUCGCUGGGUAGCUACACUCGCUCGGGAUAACCGCUGAAGGCAUAUAAGCGGGAAGCCCACCUCAAGAUUAGGUUUCUUAGGCACCAGAAAGACCAUCUGGUUGAUAGGCUCUAGGUGUAAGCCCCGCAAGGGGUUCAGCCGAGGAGUACUAAUUUGCCAAGUAUAAAAAC
rnacentral:rRNA from 1 species